UUCUUUCUCAUCUCAAUGAAGCUAAUAUCCUCGACCCAGCUUGUUACACCAUUUCAAUGAAGCAAGAAAAUGUAAGUGGUCAGAAAAAACCAGCAAAGAGAUACGAGAAGUUGGAAAUACUAGAUCAACUUAAAGAAGCAAGGAGAAGAAUGUUUUCUCAAGUUUGGUCCAGAAGGUUUGCAGCUCAAGAUGGAUUUCUCCAAAUUCCCCUUCAACUUGGUUAUGAUGACAAGUCUUGCCCUCUUCUGGAGAAAUAUAUCCUUUCAGAUAUCUGGGCAAAAAGUCCUUUCGUCAGAAAAACAAUUCGUGCCCUACCGGUAGUCUCUUUAACUCACUUCCUCCCUUGACAGUGGUGAUCAUGAUAUGGUUGUACCAUAUGUUCGAACUGAGGCAUGGAUGAGAUCAUUAGGGUAUUCAAUGAUUGUGGAAUGGAGGACAUGGUGUGUAGAUGGACAAGUUGGUGGAUACACAAGAACAUAUGAUCACAACCUAACAUUUGCAACUGUGAAGGGAGUUGGACAUACAGCACCGGAAUACAAGCCUAGAGAAGCAUUUUCAAUGUUCAAAUCAUGGAUUUCUGGAAAUCCUUUUUGUACAUUCAGUUAAGAUAUUAUUAUUGUCUUAUUUUAAAAAAUAUCAUUUGAAGUAUAUUCAUGAAAAUAAUGAGGUCUAACCUCCUUUCUCAAACUGUGGAACUUUGGAAAGCCUAUGUGAACAUUCAGUUAAAAUACU